rnacentral:lncRNA from 1 species
CAAUAACUUUCGCCUGGCGUCUGAAAUGGUCAACAAAGCCACUUAUCGCACAAGCCUAAGCAGCUACGUACAGUAAGGUACUAUCCAUGAAGACCUGUCAGACUAAUGACUUUGUUUUUGCAGGAACACCUUUAAAAAGAUCUUCGAAGAAGCCGAGGCCAUGGAGUCGUCCACUCAAGGCAGGCUGGACCUCCUACGCAGCGUCAAUGGGUUACCCACAAAACAGGAGCUCAAAAAACUCUUGAAAACUAGUUGAGUUGGUGGCCGCAUUUCGGGUGAACCAAAACUACCCGUUGAACCUACUAAGGUGCCACCAAAUCUGCUGCAGAUCCGUUCAAUCAACAUUAAUGGUCAGGACAUUCAAUUGGACGACUACGGAGAAGUUAUCAUUGCUAACAUCUCAAGCGCUGAGAGCUUCGAGGAUCUAAUCACCAGUAUGGCCGAGACCGAAAAGACGCAGACCUUUGUCGAAGCACCAAAAAGGAGUUUUGGCUGAAGUACCACCUACCCACGGAAUCGGUGCUCUAUCAGAUCAUUCGACAAACACUGAAACACCAUGCGAGCUUGGACCACAAAGAAGUCUCGGAGGCAUUGCCCGAUAUUCUGAGAAGCGUGCGCUGCUAUUUCGCCUCCCGCAGUCCCCUUUGUCCUCCAGAGUUUCUGAAGAAGUGCCCCAAGUGCGUGGGUUACUACAAUGAGGGUACGCGGCAGGUGAAUGAAUCUGAUGUUUG